rnacentral:rRNA from 1 species
AGUGAACGCUGGCGGUAGGCCUAACACAUGCAAGUCGAACGGCAGCACAGUAAGAGCUUGCUCUUACGGGUGGCGAGUGGCGGACGGGUGAGGAAUACAUCGGAAUCUACUUUUUCGUGGGGGAUAACGUAGGGAAACUUACGCUAAUACCGCAUACGACCUACGGGUGAAAGCAGGGGAUCUUCGGACCUUGCGCGAUUGAAUGAGCCGAUGUCGGAUUAGCUAGUUGGCGGGGUAAAGGCCCACCAAGGCGACGAUCCGUAGCUGGUCUGAGAGGAUGAUCAGCCACACUGGAACUGAGACACGGUCCAGACUCCUACGGGAGGCAGCAGUGGGGAAUAUUGGACAAUGGGCGCAAGCCUGAUCCAGCUAUACCGCGUGGGUGAAGAAGGCUUUCGGGUUGUAAAGCCCUUUUGUUGGGAAAGAAAAGCAGCAGGUUAAUACCCCGCUGUUCUGACGGUACCCAAAGAAUAAGCACCGGCUAACUUCGUG